GCUUUUCUGGAAUAUAUAGUGGACUACAUAUCAACUAAGGAUGCAUUUGAGAUUCUAGUUCUGAUUUCAGUACAAUUUGCAUUAUGUUGGUACCAUUAGUGGGUGUUUAUGGUGAAAAAACAGUAAUUUUUGUGAUUAUUUAGUGAAUUUGCAAGUAGUACAGCACUACACUGUGUAUUAUCUCAAACCCGGUUGUCGAGUUAAUGAACUAAUUAGCAGUGUUAUAACGGUAGAGACGGUCAGGUUAUUUUGCUCUGGGCGCGAACUGAGGAAGUGUAGCUCAACAUGGGGCCGUGUCUUUAAUAAGGCCUGACUAACUCAUUUAUUAAUUACUUGGUAAUUAAUGAGUGCACUGUCAGGACAGCAGUGUUGUUGAUUAACUUCAGUGGACUGAGUUUUCUCCUCGGUGAGGGACAUGGCAGUGUCUGAGACUCAGCUCAUGCUGAGCAUCGGAUUGAUCGAGAAGGACGUGAACGCAGACACGCUGUGGGUCUGGUGCUUCCCAGCAGUCAGCGCUGAGCUGCGUGAGGUCUUGAUGCGGAAGUGCUGUUUGUCCCGCGACUCUCUGGAGCUGCACACUUUCGUGUUUGGACAGUACCGCCGGAGCUGGUACUACCUCACCACCACCGAGGUCCAGGAGCCCACCGCCCUCAGCAAGGUUACACAUUUCUCUAUAGUUAUUACAGCAAAGGAUUUCAACCCUGAAAAGUAUGCUGCAUUAAGCAGAGUUCUGUGUAGGAUGUACAUGAAGCAUGGCAGUCCAGUGAAGAUGAUGGAGGGCUACAUUGCUGUCCUAACAAAGGGCAUCUGUCAAAGCGAUGAGAACGGCUCCUUCCUCAUCAAGGACUACGAUGUUAGGAAAGCCUAUUUGGCUGGAUCCAUCAAAGACGUGGUGUCUCAGUUUGGAAUGGAGACCAUCAUCCUGUACACAGCACUGAUGCUGAAGAAAAGGAUUGUGAUCUACCAUCCUCGUGUCGAGGCUCUGCUAGAGUUCACAAGAGCACUUCCAGCCCUGACAUGGCACAGGAAAGACUGGUCCAUUCUCCACCCUUAUGUCCAUCUGGAGGACAGGGAGUUGGACAACCUCAGAUCAUGCACAGGAUAUGUGGCAGGCUUUGUAGAUCCUGAGGUUAUCAACAGAUCAGAUCUCUUCGAUGUUUUCGUGAAUCUUCCAGACAAUGAGAUCACCAUAGGUCAACAUGCAAAAGAGGCCAUGGUUAUGGGAAAACUGCAUAAAGAGAUCGGCCACUUGAUCGUCCAGUCUGCAGAGGACACUGAUCGCACAGAUGCUCAAGUUAUCAAGGAUAUCUCAGUAAAGACCAAGGAGAUCCUUAGUAACUUGGUGUCCCUUGCUGAGGAAGGGGAUGACGCAAAGCUGACGCUGGACACACUGAAACGACGUCACCUUCCUCCAGCAACCGAGAACUUCCUCUUCCACUUAGCUGCUGCUGAGCAGCUCCUGAAGAUCUAAAUAAUCCAAGUCCCCCAUGAUCCUAUGAGACCAAGGAGAGCCUAACGAAGGAAAUCACUGUGAUCACUUAUAAAUGUAUCUAAAUGCAAAGAUAAAUUUACAAAGAUUUAUAGAGAUUUUAUGAUGUGCUAGACGCAUUCAGUGACCAAGACUAUUGUGUAUGCUACUCUGUUUUCCAGGCAAGUUCUUCUUAGGAAGCACUUAAAAUUACUUGACAAAUAUACAGUAUAACACAGGAAAUUGAGAAGAGACAGUCAACUGCCUUACCUACCUGACAGAGGAACAGGCAGCACUGACCUAUAGAAGGCCUGAGCUGAACUACUGCUGACUGCCAGACGCUGGAUUAUAAUUUGAGGAAGGGCCUAAAAAUUAAAAAAUACGAUAUGCAUCAGAGGAUAUACUAUAUAGUCUGUGCAUCUCAGGUUUCUGGGACUUUUAAACAGGUUAUUUUGUAAAAUGUCUACAAUUAUUGAAUAAAGAACAUCUCACCCCUGCAAA